GCCCGGGUGGUGGAAUUGGUAGACACGAAGGACUUAAAAUCCUUUGAUCGUUGAGAUCGUGCGGGUUCAAGUCCCGCCCCGGGUA
rnacentral:tRNA from 1 species